GGCGGGCUGGCAGUGAGACUGACUGCGUCGGGGUUGAGACUGGGUGGAUGAGGCUCACCCCGGCGGGGAGAAGGGACGAGGAGGGGCGGACAGCGGAAGGUCCGGGAGUGUCCGCCAUAAAGUCGUUUGAGGUGACCGUUGCGUAAUUGUGAGUCUGUGAGAGAAGAUGUGAAGUAUGGCCUCGUCCCGGUCAUCUGGGCGUGCGGGUCCCGGGUUUUGAUCGCGCGUUUGUGUAGUUUUAACUUCUAGUCAUGGCGAAUGAUCGCAGGAGAGCACAGACUGGACCCUGCUACGAUCUCUCUUGGAGUGGAUCAGACUGAUGAUCACCAACAACCAACUCAUUCCCGGAUAAGGAAGAAGAGAGUGUCACCUACUUCAGUGUGGUUUCAACCCUACUUCUGCAUCUUAAAGACACUGUAUGUGUACAACGUUGGACACUGUGCAGGAUGAUGCCACUUCAUCUUGGAUGCUAAUCUGCCAUGUUGACUUCUGAUUAACCCCAGGCCCAGGAAUGCCUCAAGAUUUCUACUUUACUUACUGUUGCUUGUGUAAGCCAAGACAACCUUGAUGUUAUCAUAAACAUGUACUUACCUAAGUCCUGUCCUUUGGCAAAUUAUGGGCUAUGAGACACAGCAUUCUUGCCUUUCCCUGAGGGGUCAAUUUCAGCGAUCCUACACAUUCCUUCUGAAGCACUUAUGCUCUUUCUAUAUGGUAUGUAAGCUCUCGGUCUGGGGAGUAACAGUGCAGAGAUCUACCUGUCUUGUUGCCACAUGUUUCUAAACUUUCCAAUAAAUCACCUUCUACUGACAA
rnacentral:lncRNA from 1 species